rnacentral:lncRNA from 1 species
GGAGGUAUCGUUUUUUUUUGUUUUUUUUUUUUGGCAUAAACAAAUAUUGCAGUGUGUUUCGUUUUGCUCCCCUCGGUGAAAUUAUAAUAUUUGCACGCCCUCACCUAGAUCUAGAUCUGAAAUUAGUUGUUAUGUUAAAAUAAACAAUAAUUUACCUUAAGCGAUGUAUUAUUGUUGACCAUUCGAGAUUCUUUUUUUUCAACCCGUCUUCAGCUGAAUUUGUGAUUGUAAUAUUACUAUGCGGGACGCAAGGGAUUUCAAAUCGAAAAUAAAUGCAAAAAAAAUGUGAAGU